GACGAACGCUGGCGGCGUGCUUAACACAUGCAAGUCGAACGGAAAGGCCCCUUUGGGGGUACUCGAGUGGCGAACGGGUGAGUAACACGUGAGUAACCUGCCCUUGACUUCGGGAUAACUUCAGGAAACUGGGGCUAAUACCGGAUAGGAAUCCUUGCUGCAUGGUGGGGGUUGGAAAGCUUCGGCGGUUUUGGAUGGACUCGCGGCUUAUCUGCUUGUUGGUGGGGUAGUGGCUUACCAAGGCUUUGACGGGUAGCCGGCCUGAGAGGGCGACCGGCCACAUUGGGACUGAGAUACGGCCCAGACUCCUACGGGAGGCAGCAGUGGGGAAUAUUGCACAAUGGGCGGAAGCCUGAUGCAGCAACGCCGCGUGCGGGAUGACGGCCUUCGGGUUGUAAACCGCUUUCAGCAGGGGCGAAGCUUGUGGUGACGGUACCUGCAGAAGAAGCACCGGCUAACUACGUG
rnacentral:rRNA from 1 species